UGAAAUAAAGAUUCGACAGACAACUCUCAUCUGCACAUAGAAUUAUAGUAGUAUCCAUUCUAUAACGACUCCAUUUCUAUCUGAAUCAUAACUAAAGGUGAACGUGCCAAGAUAAUAUUGAAGUGAUAUAUAUUGGAAGUGAGUACGCCAAAUUUAGAAGUGGAGUACCCGUUAAUCGUAUCGAGACCGGAAGAUAUGAGAAUUUACGAGUAUCAGAAAGGACUUGUUGUGGCUUUCCGAAUUCCACUACGAACAAAGAACAUGUACUUAUAUUCGUCAUUAGAGACAGUUGUUUUAAUAACUCAAUUGUUGAUGGGUUUGAUAAGUUUUCUAUCCAAGAUAUUAACCUUUCUUUGAUUCUGUAAUUAGUAAGCAACAAACGUUUGUGUGCCAUUUGUCUGUCUCUUCUCCUCUUAUGGUUGACACUAUGUUUAGUAAUUUGUUUCUUAGGUGUAAAUAAUCGUCUCUCGUCAUUCUAUAAUAAUGGCUUUUAAAUAUUUGUACUGUGUUUUAAUCAAAUUCUUUUGUGAUUGUUUGUUAAAUGUGAGACGUAAAUAAAAUAUUGUAUUGUA